rnacentral:rRNA from 1 species
CCUACGGGGGACUGCAGUGAGGAAUAUUGGUCAAUGGCCGAGAGGCUGAACCAGCCAAGUCGCGUGAGGGAAGACGGCCCUACGGGUUGUAAACCUCUUUUGUCGGGGAGCAAAGCGAGUCACGUGUGACUCAUUGAGAGUACCCGAAGAAAAAGCAUCGGCUAACUCCGUGCCAGCAGCCGCGGUAAUACGGAGGAUGCGAGCGUUAUCCGGAUUUAUUGGAUUUAAAGGGUGCGCAGGCGGAGGUGCAAGUCAGCGGUCAAAUUGCGGGGCUCAACCCCGUACUGCCGUUGAAACUGCAUGCCUUGAGUGCGCGAGAAGUAUGCGGAAUGCGUGGUGUAGCGGUGAAAUGCAUAGAUAUCACGCAGAACUCCGAUUGCGAAGGCAGCAUACCGGCGCGCAACUGACGCUCAUGCACGAAAGCGUGGGUAUCGAACAGGAUUAGAUGCCCUGGUAGUC